rnacentral:rRNA from 1 species
UACGAAGGGGGCUAGCGUUGUUCGGAUUUACUGGGCGUAAAGCGCAUGUAGGCGGGGCGUUAAGGUGGGGGUGAAAUACCGGGGCUCAACCUCGGAACUGCCUUCAAAACUGGCGACCUGGAGCAAGAUAGAGGCAAGUGGAAUUGCGAGUGUAGAGGUGAAAUUCGUAGAUAUUCGCAGGAACACCAGUGGCGAAGGCGACUUGCUGGAUCUUUGCUGACGCUGAGAUGCGACAGCGUGGGGAGCAAUCAGG